rnacentral:lncRNA from 1 species
GGGCGGGUUUGAGAGAGCGUUGUUGGUCUUUGCGUGGCUGCCUAGUGAUGACAUCUUUCUUUCCCGCCCACCCCUCCUCACAAGCUUCUUAGCGAUUUGGUUUUGCUGUGCAUCUGGCAAAAUGAAGCUGGCCCAGUGACAAAUUUGGUUGCCUAACCAGGAGCUUUUACUGGCAGGGGCCAGGUUGAGGAAGAAAGGGGAACAAAUGGAGAAUGACGUAACUGGCUACUCCACUGGUGGCUGCCUUAACACAGGACGAGCUGGACCAAAUCGAGGAACCCACAGGGACUUAGCAAGAGGUUCUUGGAAAUACCAUCUGGCUGUCCUCCAUGUAGAUGGUCUUCUUUUUGUGGUAAGAAAUAGUGCAGUAAAACUGAUCUCUCAUUGCUGUUAUGAAAACAUAAAAUGGGUAGGAAAUGCAUCACUCUGAAACUGGGCGACGGUCACAGUGUACUGAACUAGCUUAUACAAGAUUGGAAGACUUGGAGCUCACAAAUGAUCCCUUUUCAUGAGCAGAAUGCAUCUUUCUCAUCAUGUGCUUUUGUUCCCUACACCAUCCCCUGAACCACCUAAGUUCACCUCAGUAGGGUGAUCACAUUGAAGGGCCUCUGAAAAGAUGAGGAUUUGAUUCAGAGGCAUUUCGAUGUGGCAGAAAGAAUGGAGUUUGGAGUUGGGCACACCUGGAUUCUAAUAUUAGUGUUGACGUGUGUAGACCUUGGGAUCGGCACAGCUUCUCUGGGCUCAUUGUUUUGAGAGCAGCCAGAGUAUGGUUGUGGCUUAGCAUCUGGCAUGAGUAGGGCUUUCAACACUUUGCUUUCUUGCCCACUUCCCCAACUUGUAGUCAGAUGUCACUCAAAAGGGGGUUUUUGUGUGUAUAUGAAAGUGUAAGUAACUUUAGGAGAGAAUGCGGUGAGGGAUGAGGGAAAGCUUCAGCAGAGGUAACUUCUUUUGCUCAAGAUGACUCUGAGUUUUUACUGAUGUCUCAGAAGUAUCUCUGGGCAGGCUGAAGACAAAGGUAUUUGCUUGGUAGGCAUCCAGAAGGUGCCUUUCAGUGCCUUCAUGCCAAGAAUUCUUUUGCCUAAACACAUACUCAAUCAUGAAAAGACGUACUGGUCAUCAGUCAUGCCUCUAUUAGGUCUUAUCUCAGUAGGCAUGGAACUGAAGGGGAUAAGCACUUAGGGAGGUCAGACCCUGUGACUCUUCAAAUACGUUUGCCCAGGGAUGAAGCUUAAAACAAAGGACACGAGCCAGAAUACUUUUGUGAUAACUUUUUUCUUUAGAAAAAAAAAUGUACAAAAAGAAAAGUUAAAGAAGAACCAACAUGGAAGUGUCAAGAGAACAUUCUGAUGGGUACAGACAAGGGAGCGCCUUCUCUCGAAGGAGUUACACAUUAGUUAUUACCAUGCUAGAAAAAUGAGAUGCAGUUAAAAUUGGAGCCAUAAAGUCAAGCUGUUGCUCUGGGGCUCUAGGCUGUAGAUGCUCCGCCACCCUUCCUGUAAAGUAAUACUGUGCAAACUAUAAAAUAUACAUUUUCUACAAAGUCCGUACAGUGAGAUAUACAAAACUGAGUGGAUAGGGGAGGCUGGUAGUGGCAUUUUUGGGGAACGCAGGUGGCAGUAUCACCUGCCAGCCCAAGGGCAUGGCUGCAGAGUGAUCUUGAAUUUCUUACACAGGAGAGGCCCUUAGGUAAGAAAGAAUCAUGCCCAGCAUUGCUCAAAUCCAGGAUUCCCUGUCACUGGUUGUGUAACUUAGGUGAUCUUUUAUUAAUAUAUUACUUUGAAUGUGAUCACGUGUCAAGAAAUCUGAACACAAAGUUCUUUUUCAGGGUAGUAUUUUUUCCUGCACAAUUGAUUGCUGAGAUUGACCAUUAACCAACAUCAUUUUCCCUGUAACGCAAAAGUGAAGUUUCAUUAAAAUUCCAAAAUUCCAGAAGAGGCAGCAACCGUGGUAGUAAAAGAUUAAAGUGAAUUAUUAUGUUCAUUUUAUUGGUAUCUAUAAAACUGAGAAAAGAGGGUUUGUGUACAAAUAUCACCAAACAACAUCAACCAUUGAAUAAAUGUGGUUCUUCGAUGCACACCUGAACAAGAAAGUUUUCUUUAAAAUUCUGGCAUAAAUAUAUUAAAGCUG